GCAUUUCUCCCUCAGACUCGACUACAUUUUGUGGAGCGGUUGGUGAAGCUAAAACAAAUCUUUAAGGCAGAAACGGUGUUUUUAAUGUCACACAACAAGGACUGUUGACUGAGGUAUCAGGUGUGAUUCACUUGGAGUGAGAAGUUGGUCAGCUCUGGUCUCAGCACUCAGGUCAGAAACCUCCAAUCUGAGAGAACUGCAUCUGACUGUGAAAACACUGGAUCUGACUGGGAAUAAACGAGGAGACUCAGGAGUGAAGAGUCUCUGUGCUGGACUGGAGAAUCCUCACUGUAAAGUGGAGACACUGGGGUUGGAGUGUUGUGGUGUCUCAGGUGAAGGCUGUGGUGUCUCAGGUGAAGGCUGUGCUGCUCUGACUUUAGCUCUGAGAUCAAACCCCUCACACCUGAGACAACUGAAUCUGUCCAUUAAUAAUGUAGGAGACUCAGGAGUGAAGUCUCUCUGCUGUACUGGAGAAUCCUCACUGUAAACUGGAGAUAUUGAGAAGCAACGAGAAGAAUUGCCUUCGGAAUAACCCCGGCUACAGCUGACAACCAGACACACACACACACACACACACACACACACACACACACACACACACACACACACACACACACACACACACACACACACGGAAAGAGCACAUCACCUUUAGAAUUGUUCAAUUAAAAUAAAUGUACUUUGUUCCUUACAAUUUCACGUGUCUGUUUUCUCUGGUUAACCGAAAAGUAAAAAUAAAAUGAAGUUGGGGUGUUUCUGUGAAUCACUGUGCUGUAUCCUUAAAACAGCACAUGAACACAACACUUUAAAUGCUGUAAUUCUUAAAAUGCUGUUCAGCUUUAUGUGACGAAUAGUGACAUGAAUGCCUUAAAAAAAGUAAUAAGUACUUUCUGAACUACUUCUCAACUUAUUUGUCUUUUUUCUUUCCAGUAAAAACUGCAUUAAGUCUGUUCCUUUCUCUUACUCAUGACAUCACCAGUGUUAAAUUAAAUGUGAGUGCAAAAAGGCCUCUGUUAUUUAUAUUUGAAAAGGUCACUGCAUUAAGUUUCAAUUUAUUACUGAAGAUGCACCGAUGUAAAAGGCUAUUUUUCCCUGCUAUGGGCUAUCGGCCCAUUUUUAAUAUCAUUUAAAAAAAGGUUAUAAUAUAUAUUACCAGUUUGAUGAUCAGUGAUGAAGUAGAAAUGCUUUUGUUUGUGGUGAGUGAAUGUGAGACUAACGGAAAGUUUUUUUUUUUUUAGAAUUCAGUCAAUGUUAAUAUGAAUUAAUAACAUUCAAUAAGUUAAUAA